rnacentral:rRNA from 1 species
AUUGAACGCUGGCGGCAGGCCUAACACAUGCAAGUCGAACGGCAGCGGGGGAUAGCUUGCUAUCCUGCCGGCGAGUGGCGGACGGGUGAGUAAUGCAUGGGGAGCUGCCCAAUCGAGGGGGAUAACAACUGGAAACGGUUGCUAAUACCGCAUACGCCCUGCGGGGGAAAGGUGGGGACCUUCGGGCCUACCGCGAUUGGAUGCACCCAUGUGGGAUUAGCUGGUUGGUGAGGUAACGGCUCACCAAGGCGACGAUCUCUAGCUGGUCUGGGAGGAUGACCAGCCACACUGGAACUGAGACACGGUCCAGACUCCUACGGGAGGCAGCAGUGGGGAAUAUUGCACAAUGGGGGAAACCCUGAUGCAGCCAUGCCGCGUGUGUGAAGAAGGCCUUCGGGUUGUAAAGCACUUUCAGUGGGGAGGAAGGGGAGUAAGCUAAUAACUUGCUUCAUUGACGUUACCCACAGAAGAAGCACCGGCUAACUCCGUGCCAGCAGCCGCCGUAAGAC